UUUCUUUUAGCUUAAGUAUAAAGCGUUAGCUUGAAGGUCUAAAGAUAACAUCGGUUAUAGAGAU
rnacentral:tRNA from 1 species